rnacentral:lncRNA from 1 species
GUUCUUUUUUGUUGUUGUUAUUCUUUGCGUCAUUUCCAGAGAGACAGGAAGGAAAACAUAGUAAACAUUCUUCAAUUCUGCACAAAAGCCGAGAAGGGAUUUUCUUCAGGAACCUCCUUGUGGCUCUGCCAUGGCGGGGAGGGUUGGGGGUAAGAAAUAUAAGACCCAAUUCCCUGUGGAGGCGGGGAUUCGGUGAAACCAAUCCCUUGAAUGUGGGGUGGAACCAACAUGUAACUCAAUUUGCUUUGGCUCUCACUGUGCAUUUGAGCUAAAGCAAGGGAAGCAUUUCCCCUUCCCCUGGCUGAAAGCUCAGCUGACCCCGAGGCUCUUCUGGUCAUGCUUAGAGUGGGCCCUACAUCCAAUGACUGGUGUUCUCAUAAGGAGAGAGAGACAAAGAGUAGACAGACACAAGGGAGAAGGCCGUGUGAAGAUGGAGACAGAGAUUGGAAUGAUACAGCCACAAGCCAAGAAACAUCUGCGGCCGUCAGAAGUUGGAAGAGGCAAGGAAUGAUUUAUUCUUUCCCACUCAUUGUUUCACCAAUGAGCACCUUCCAUGUGCCACCGUUCUGACCCUGCUGACAAUGUGGUUUCAGACUUCUGGCCCCCAGAACUGUGAAAGAGUAAAUUUCUGUUAAGUUAUCUUGCUUGUGGUACUUUGUUACAGCAGCCCUGUGGAUCUAAUAUAGUCAUAAGAGACAUUGUGACCUCCUCCCUGCUCUCUUGAACCACUCAUUCUGGGAGAAGUCAGCUGCCAUGUCAUGAAGCUACUCAGGGAGGUCCAUGGAGAGGUCCACAUGGCAAGGAACUGAGGCCUCCUGCCAGUAGCCAGCACCAUCUUGCUGGCCAUGUGAGCGUGCCAUCUUAGAUGCAGAUCAUACGGCCCCAGUCAAGCCUUCAAAUGACUGCAUCCCUACUUGACAUUUUGACUGUAACCUCAUGACAAACCCUAAGCCAGAACACCAGCUAAGCCACUCCCCAAUUCCUCAUCAAGAGAAACUGAGAUAAUAAAUGUUUAUUAUUGUUUUAAGCUACUAAAUUUUGAGGUAAUCUGUUAUGUAGCAAUAGAUAACUAAUACUGAUAUCUGUCAUAUUGGGGCCUCAGUGUAACUUGGAACAGAAAGAGUUCCAUAUUAUAAUUCUUAAACAUUACUUGGAAUGGUUAGGGGCCCCAGUGCUAUUCUCUCUGGGGAUAUUUCCAGCAAUGGGCCCCACAGCCAUUUAUAGUGAGUUGUCCCACUUACUCUUUCACCAGUGAGCACUUUCCAUGUGUCAGAUGCCAUAUUAGAGACUGGGGCUAUAGAAAUGAACAGUCUUUUGGGAGGCCGAGGCAGGUGGAUCACCUGAGGUCAAGAAUUUGAGACCAGUCUGACCAACAUGGAGAAACCCCGUCUCUACUAAAAAAAAAAAAAAUACAAAAUUAGCUGGGUGUGGUGGUGCAUGCCUGUAAUCCCAGCUACUUGGGAGGCUGAGGCAGGAGAAUCACUUGAACCUGAGAGGCGGAGGUUGUGGUAAGCCAAGAUUACACCAUUGCACUCCAGCCUGGGCAACAAGAGUGAAAUUCCAUCUCAAAAAAAGAAAAAAAAGAAAUGAACAGCCCUGUUCUUAAUCACUUAACCAGUGGUCAUUAUGGUCUCUGCUAGUAGAGCACUAUGGGCAAGAAGGACAGCACUGCUUUGCAGGGAAGGGAAAAGAGAGACAUCACUGAGGCACUGAAGAGGAGAAGCAUUCAGUGGUAUGACCUUGAAGAGACAAGAAGAGGACCAAGUUCAAGAGUCUGCAAGAACAGUGGGAGGUAGAGCUGGAACUAGAAUCCAGACACCCCACUUCUAGUCUUGAAUUUGCGCUUCCUGAACUACACAGAGGCUGGCUCAUGGUACCAGGGUCUCUAAAGAUACCUGGAGGCAUGAACUUGAAUCCUGCUGGGAUACUACUCUUUGAAUAAUAAUUUCUCUAUGGAAAGGCAGGGUACAAAGUCUUGGAAUCUUGUUUCUGCUCUGCCAUCUUAGCUAAAUAACUCCCUUUGGAGAUCCUUUGAACCCUGAUAGAUCAGCAAGCCCCCUCUGAAACAUCAUAAGCCUCAGGGCAAGAAGGCUGGCCUUCUCCUCCAUCUGAAUCCCAGCCCUUCUUUUUUUGAGAUGGAGUUUUGCUCUUGUUGCCCAGGCUGGAGUGCAAUGGCGCGAUCUCGGCUCACCACAACCUCUGCCUCCUGGGUUCUAGCGAUUCUCCUGCCUCAGCCUCCUGAGUAGCUGGGAUUACAGGCAUGCAAAACCAUGCCCUGCUAAUUUUGUAUUUUAAGUAGAGACAGGGUUUCUCCAUGUUGGAAAGGCUGGUCUUGAACUCUCGACUUCAGGUGAUCCGCCCGCCUCUAGCCCUUCUUAGUAGUGGUGUUUUCUAAACAGGUUAGAUAAGAAUUUGACACCUGCUGAAAUCUCCAGGCUGGCUCCUCCCAAGGUCAAAUUGCACAUCUUGCCAACGAGAACAGCCUUCACUUCUUGAGCAUCUACUCAGCAGCAAGUGAUUUCUCUAAUCUUCACAACACCCUCUCAAGGCAAGGGAUCAUGGGCCACACUUGGCAAUCUAGGAAAGUGAAGUUCAAGAACAAGCCCCAGGACACACAGCUAGUGACAGCGAGGCACAGAGCUGGGAUUCCAACCCAGGCCUGUCUAACCCUAAAGCUCCUCCUAUCCACCUCCUCCUUGCUGCCACAGAAGGUGACUCAGAGGUACUCAGUCUGGAGAAUUCAAGCCAGUAUCCCAGGAAGUGGAAUUUUCUCCAGUGUUCUAGGAAGGAGGGAUUACCAUGGCAUGGGGUGGGCCAGGUAGACACAAGAGGCAGUGAAGGUGCAUAAAGUGGUGAUUAAAGGGAAUGGAGUCUACUGUGGUUUGGAUAUGGUUGCGUCAACCUAAACUCAUGUUGAAAUUUGACCCUCGGUGUGGUGGUGGUGGGAGGUGGGGCCUAGUGGGAGGUGUCUGGGUCAUGGGGGCAGAUCUCUCAUGAAGGGCUUAGUGCCAUCCUCACAGUGGAGAGUGAGUUUUCACCCUGGCAAGACUGGAUUCUUGUAGGAAUGGAUUUGUUCCCAAGACAGUGGGUUGUUAUAAAGCCAGGAUGCCCCUUGGGUUUUCCCUUCUUUGCAAGUGUUCACUCUCCCUUUGACCUUCUGUAUGUCGCAGCCCUCACCAGAGGCUGAGCAGAUGCUGAGGCCAUGCUUCUUGAUUCUCCCAGCCAACAGAUCUGAUGUCACUAUCAAUCACGCUUCGACUGAGUACAGCCAAACCAGGAUACUCAGGGACUUGGAAUCUGUUACCAGACUUUUAUUUAGUACAGACACAGCGCCAGGGGGCUGAGCAUUCUUCAGCAACACCCUUUGGACCCCUUUCUACACCAUCAUGCUGUAUGAACAGAAGGGUUGGGGACAUGAAGGAGCAGCUCAGCUAAGGUGACCCAGAUGGUUGGGCUCAGAGCUGGAAGAACACCGUGGUCUUCUGACUCCCAAUUCCUGCAUCUGUCCUGCUUGUAAGAGGCUUGCCAAGAACAGGAGCUUUUGUUUGUAGGUCUCUAGGGAUGGCCACCACAGGGAGUGUGAUUUGAAGAUGGGGUCGGCGUGACAUUACAGGCCCCCUUUAGGCUCUGCUGGGUUGCAGGCCAGCUCUCUGGGCUGCCUUUCUGAUGGCUGCUAUUUUAAAGGCAGAUAGGAUGAAGUUAGCAACAACUUAUAUCAUUAAACUAGCAAGGGCUCAGGAGGGGCAGCCCCCUUCUGGGAAUGUGCCUAGCUCCUGCUCCAGAAUGGAGGAGUUUCUGUGGCUCUAGGAGAGCUGGCCUUCUAUGGAGUCUGAGCAAUGUACCGCACGGGGAGGAGAAGACGCUUCCAGAAGAUACCAGUGUUUCUAUCCAGAGACGUUUCCAGGACACCACGUUAAGCAGCAGAGACACUAGAAGCCAAGGCACCUAUGGUCUGGUGUGGAUGUGUGCCUCCUGUGCCUCAGUGGCAUCAUCCGUACCAUGGGAGGUGUGUAAUGAGGGGUGAGAUCACGUCUGUGAGGGCACGUACAUAGUAGAUGCCCAGGAAGUGCCAGUCCCCAUCUCCUUCCCAGUUUCUUCAAAGCCUUCUGGAAGGCACUGGCAUAGCCCAGUCCUGAGGCACUGCUUUUUCUUUCAUGGAUGAUCAGGAGCUUCUGUGAUUUCUUCCCCCUCACUCUUCAUUUUGCCAAGAUGUUGCCCAUAGUAACCUCAGCAGUGGAGCGAGGAUUCUGCACUGUUCCACUGCCCUGGGGCUGCACACCCACGUGAGCGGGGCCGACCCGUCCCAGAGCGCUUUGCCCUCAGAAGGCAGCAUCACCUGCAGGAGCAAUGCCAUGGACAGCUCUGGCUUGUCCUCCAGGGCCCUGGCAUGGUCAGUGAGAAAAUGCCCCUGGGGCAUGGGCUUCUCCUGUCAGUCAAGUUCAGAAGGCUUCCUGGGGUAGGUAGAGACGCUCCCUACCCAGCUGAGUUAUUGAAAUGAUAGGAGGGAGAAGGGAAGGUCUGGGCAUGUGGCACUGUGAUUUUUUUUUCUUUCUUCUUUUUUUUUUUUUUUUUUUUUGGAGACUCGGGGUAGAAAUGAGGACAGGAAGAAGUACAAUCCGUCUGGGAUUGGUUUAUUUUUAUUGCUUUUUAAAAUCAUGUGACUAAUUGGUGUUCAUUGAAAAAGAGAAAACAAAAAUAAGCCAAGAGAAGACAGCAAAAAUAAUCUGUUAACAUCUUGGCAAAUAUCCUUUUUCUCUGCAUAGAAACGGAGAAUACUUUUGUUUCACUUAUAAAAUGUUUCUUAAUGUACACAGCUUUAUAACCUGCUUUUUGCUUAAUGGGACAAUAUACUAGGACAUGUUUUCAGGCCAACAGAUAAAUAUACUUCACUUGCAU